UUUUUGUUUAAUAAUAUGCAUUGUGCAAGAACUGUUCAUAGUUGGAUAUCUGUCAUUAACUUAGUCAUUGACAUACAGUUUUCUGUUUUGUGUUGAUAAGAAGUAUCAUUGAUACAGUCAUUUGAAUAAAUUUACUGUUUUACGUUUUUUUCCCAAGACACAGAUUUCCUUAGUCUACCAACUAUUUUGAUUGGGCAUAACUGAUGAAAAGCCUGGUAACAAAAAUGAAUAGCAUGUACCAGUAUUCUUUUUUAAGCUAGUAAAAUAACACAUUUUUGUUAACCUCAAAAUACUCUGUGAUGAUUUUAGUUCAAUUAAUUUACAGAAUCC
rnacentral:lncRNA from 1 species